ACUGCUGCCUCCCGUAGGAGUAGGGGGAAUCUUCCACAAUGGACGAAAGUCUGAUGGAGCAACGCCGCGUGAGUGAAGAAGGUUUUCGGAUCGUAAAGCUCUGUUGUUGGUGAAGAAGGAUAGAGGUAGUAACUGGCCUUUAUUUGACGGUNAUCAACCAGAAAGUCACGGNUAACUACNUGCCAGCNGCCGCGGUAAUAC
rnacentral:rRNA from 2 species